rnacentral:rRNA from 1 species
UAAUACGGAGGAUCCAAGCGUUAUCCGGAAUCAUUGGGUUUAAAGGGUCCGUAGGCGGUUUAAUAAGUCAGUGGUGAAAGCCCAUCGCUCAACGGUGGAACGGCCAUUGAUACUGUUAAACUUGAAUUAUUAGGAAGUAACUAGAAUAUGUAGUGUAGCGGUGAAAUGCUUAGAGAUUACAUGGAAUACCAAUUGCGAAGGCAGGUUACUACUAAUGGAUUGACGCUGAUGGACGAAAGCGUGGGUAGCGAACAGGA